GUAAAAUGAGGGUGCGUGUUAUAGGCUGGUGCGUGGUACACCCCGAUAAAUACGGUAAUGGUCCCUUAUGCUGCUACCGUUUUAUAAUCCAUAAUUUUUGGGCCAGGUAGUCUAAUUACUUGGCGACAUAAUAACAGUAUGAGUGCAUGGUUUGGGAAAAUAGAAGCAGAAGGACAAAUGGAUGAAAGGAUGGCCGCAUCUGGGAACUUUACUGUUUGCUUUUUUUCAAUGCAAAGGAGGAGCGUAUAAUUAUUAAAAAGGGUAUUUUUGGAGAUGGACAGGCAGGCUGUAGGGGAGGAGGUAGACCUGUAUUUUGAACUUAAAAACUCAAAUGGGUUUUUGGGUUCAAAAUCUGUAUUUUUCCCUUAUGCUGCUAUCCUUUUAUAAUCCAUAAUUUUGGGGCCAGGUUGUCCGAUAACUUAGCAAAGUGAAAACAGUAUGAGUGCAUGGUUUGGGAACAAAGGUGUAGAAGCACAAAUCGAUGAAAGGAUAGUUGCAUAUGGCAACUUAACUGUUUGUUUUUCCAAAGCAAAGAAGAGUGUAUAAUUAUUAAAAAAGGUAUCAGUAUCUUUACAGUUCUUGGGUUUCCCGCGUGACUAGCGGCAGAAUGUCUAAGAAAAGCGGUCUGAGUGUCGAUGAAAAAAGAACGAAGAUGAUGGAAAUAUUUUUUGAAACUAAAGAUGUAUUCCAACUAAAGGAUCUGGAGAAAAUUGCCCCAAAGCAGAAGGGAGAUGGACAGGCAGGCUGAAGGGGAGGAGGACUGUAUCCACCUUUUCCAGCCCACCGGAGCACCUGAAAGCUAUGCUAAUUUAUGCAGGCUAAAGUCAGCACCUGAAAGCUGAACUAAUUCAUGCAGGCUAAAGUCAGCAACUGCCGAGCUGAGGAGUUUGUGACGAAUGAAAUCACUCCGCAAUGGUGCCGUCCGCAGCAUGUGUCAGAACUCCUUUAAGGAGCAGCCUGAUGACGUCACAUCAGGACAUGACGUUGACCUCUGCGCACCUCCAUCCUCUCCUGGACCGCCUCCAACAGCUCCUUGACUGCCUCUGACAGCCUCCAUCCUCUUCUGGACCGCUUGUCAGCUACUGGACUGCCUCCAACUUCUCUUGGACUGCCUCCACCAUCCUUCAACCGCUCCUGGACAGCCUCUGACUUUUUUAUUUUAUCUCUGCCCGUUUCCAGGUAACCAGAGCAAUGAAUAUCUUUGCCGGGCCAGAAAGAUAUUCAUUGUGGGCCGCAUGUUUGACACCCAUGGUGUAUGCUAUUGAUUGUGAAGUUUAAUUAACAUUAUGUUUUAUAGUUCGGACAUUUACACACGCGGUAAUACCACAUAUGUUUAUUUUUAUUAUGUUUACGUAUUUCUUAUAUGGAAUUUUGGAAAAGGGGGUGAUUCAAACUUUUAAUAUUGAAGUGUUUACUGGGUGUUUUUUAAAACUUUUUUUCUUUUUUUUUACACUUUUAGUCCCCUUAGGGGACUUUUAGGAGGAAUCGGUAGAUUCCUCAUACAGAUCAAUGUGGUUUAGCCAGGCUAUAUCAAUCACAGAAGAAGAAGAAGAAAACAGAAUGCUCCAAUGUGUAGAACGAUUUGACGGUAAAAAAAGGGGGGGACCCUUUAAUGAAAGGACUCACCAGAUAUAGUUGUGCUAGGAUAGAGGCACAACAAUCCGAUGUGGACUGCAGCUAUAUCCCGCCCAGGCAACAGCGUGGGAAUAAGAACGGCAGAGUUUUCACACCAGCCAGGUGUGAGGGGAUGAGGGAUAGAUGAUAGCGCUGUCCACAAGCUAAGUAUGGGUAACUUUUAUUCACAUGUAACACGUUUCAAGGACGCUCCGUCCUUUUCCUCAGACAUGCUAAAUAUACAUAAAAACAACACAUAUAUACUCAUUUGGUUAUAGGAACCGGAAAUGACAUCACAAAUUAAUUAGCAUAAAAUGACGUUUUUCCAUGUGAUCCAAGAUAAUAUAAAAAAAAAACUUUUUUCUUUAAAAAUUCUUUAUAUACAUGGAUAAAUAAAUAAAUAAGACUCCG